GAAUUCGCCCUUAGAGUUUGAUCCUGGCUCAGGACGAACGCUGGCGGCGUGCCUAACACAUGCAAGUCGAACGGAGAUGUUUAUUUCGGUAGACAUCUUAGUGGCGCACGGGUGAGUAACGCGUGAAUAACCUGACCCGAAGAGGGGGAUAACACCUGGAAACAAGUGCUAAUACCGCAUAAGACCACGGACCGGCAUCGGUCAGAGGUCAAAGGAGGAAUCCGCUUUGGGAGGGGUUCGCGUCCCAUUAGGUAGUUGGUGAGGUAACGGCCCACCAAGCCGACGAUGGGUAGCCGAGCUGAGAGGCUGAUCGGCCACACUGGAACUGAGACACGGUCCAGACUCCUACGGGAGGCAGCAGUGGGGAAUAUUGGGCAAUGGGCGCAAGCCUGACCCAGCAACGCCGCGUGAGGGAAGAAGGUUUUCGGAUUGUAAACCUCUGUCGCAGGGGACGAAGGAAGUGACGGUACCCUGUAAGAAAGCCCCGGCUAACUACGUGCCAGCAGCCGCGGUAAUACGUAGGGGGCGAGCGUUGUCCGGAAUUACUGGGCGUAAAGGGAGCGUAGGCGGUCGAUUAAGUUAGAUGUGAAACCCCCCGGGCUUAACUUGGGGACUGCAUCUAAUACUGGUUGACUUAGAGUACAGGAGAGGGAAGCGGAAUUCCCUAGUGUAGCGGUGAAAUGCGCAGAUAUCGGGGUGGAACACCGGUGGGCGAAGGCGGCCCUCUGGGCCGAGACCGACGCUGAGGCGCGAAAGCUGGGGGAGCGAACAGGAUUAGAUACCCUGGUAGUCCCAGCCGUAAACGAUGGACGCUAGGUGUGGGGGGACGAUCCCCCCGUGCCGCAGCCAACGCAUUAAGCGUCCCGCCUGGGGAGUACGGCCGCAAGGCUAAAACCCAAAGGAAUUGACGGGGGCCCGCACAAGCAGCGGAGCAUGUGGCUUAAUUCGAAGCAACGCGAAGAACCUUACCAGGGCUUGACAUAUGGGUGAAGCGGGGGAGACCCCGUGGCCGAGAGGAGCCCAUACAGGUGGUGCAUGGCUGUCGUCAGCUCGUGUCGUGAGAUGUUGGGUUAAGUCCCGCAACGAGCGCAACCCCCGCCGCGUGUUGCCAUCGGGUGAUGCCGGGAACCCACGCGGGACCGCCGCCGUCAAGGCGGAGGAGGGCGGGGACGACGUCAAGUCAUCAUGCCCCUUAUGCCCUGGGCUGCACACGUGCUACAAUGGCCGGUACAGAGGGAUGCCACCCCGCGAGGGGGAGCGGAUCCCGGAAAGCCGGCCCCAGUUCGGAUUGGGGGCUGCAACCCGCCCCCAUGAAGUCGGAGUUGCUAGUAAUCGCGGAUCAGCAUGCCGCGGUGAAUGCGUUCCCGGGCCUUGCACACACCGCCCGUCA
rnacentral:rRNA from 1 species